rnacentral:rRNA from 1 species
CAAUAGCGUAUAUUAAAGUUGUUGCAGUUAAAAAGCUCGUAGUUGGAUUUCUGGUGGGAGCGAUCGGUCUGGCGCUUAGCGCGAGUACUUGCAUCGUCUCCGGCCAUCCUUGGGGAGAGUCUGUCUGGCAUUAGGUUGUCGGGCAGAGGAUCCUCAUCGUUUACUGUGAAAAAAUUAGAGUGUUCAAAGCAGGCUUAUGCCGUUGAAUAUAUUAGCAUGGAAUAAUAAGAUAGGACUUUGGUACUAUUUUGUUGGUAUGCGCACCAAAGUAAUGAUUAAUAGGGACAGUUGGGGGUAUUCGUAUUCCGUUGUCAGAGGUGAAAUUCUUGGAUUUACGGAAGACGAACUACUGCGAAAGCAUUUACCAAGGAUGUUUUCAUUAA